rnacentral:rRNA from 1 species
GACGGAGGCCCCGAGCGUUGUUCGGAAUUACUGGGCUUAAAGCGCGUGUAGGCGGGUCGGUAAGUGCUUUGUGAAAUCCCCGGGCUCAACCCGGGAAUUGCUUGGCAUACUGCCGGUCUUGAGGCAGGUAUGGGUCACUGGAACCUUAGGUGUAGCGGUGAAAUGCGUAGAUAUCUAAGGGAACGCCGGUGGCGAAAGCGGGUGACUGGGCCUGUCCUGACGCUGAGACGCGAAAGCGUAGGGAGCAAACGGG